rnacentral:rRNA from 1 species
UUAAAGCUGCAGCUCAACUGCAUAUAGGCGGUGGAAACUGUUGAACUAGAGUAUGGUAGGGGUAGGGGGAAUUCCCAGUGUAGCGGUGAAAUGCGUAGAGAUUGGGAAGAACACCGGUGGCGAAAGCGCCCUACUGGGCCAUAACUGACACUGAGGGACGAAAGCUAGGGUAGCGAAUGGGAUUAGAUACCCCAGUAGUCCUAGCCGUAAACGAUGGAAACUAGGCGUAGCUUGUAUCGACCCGAGCUGUGCCGAAGCUAACUGUUAAGUUUCCCGCCUGGGGAGUACGCACGCAAGUGUGAAACUCAAAGGAAUUGACGGGGGCCCGCACAAGCGGUGGAGUAUGUGGUUUAAUUCGAUGCAACGCGAAGAACCUUACCAAGGCUUGACAUCCCGCGAAUCUCUUGGAAACAGGAGAGUGCCUUCGGGAACGCGGAGACAGGUGGUGCAUGGCUGUCGUCAGCUCGUGUCGUGA